AUUGCUUCUUGGUCUUUUGGCUAAAAUCAAGUGUAAUAUUUGUUUUUAUCAGUUCAAUAUCUGCUGUAGUCUUUAAAUGAGGAAAUUAUAUUAAACAGAUUUUUAGAACAGAAAGCUGGAAUAGGGGCUUGCUUCACACAUCAAUCUGGUAUUGCAGUAUCUCCAGGAAUAGUGCCCCUGUU